rnacentral:lncRNA from 1 species
UUGAUCCCACCUGUGGCAAGUGUAAGUUCCCAGGCCAGAGACUGAACCUGUGCCACAGCAGUGACAAUGCUGGAUCCUUAACCUGCUAAGCCACCAGAGAACCCCAUGAAUGGUGAUUUUUAAAAUUCCAUCAUUUCUCCUUCAUUUUCAGUCAACAGUCUACCAAAAAAGAGACCAUUCCUGUCUCUUUCCCUCUCCCUGUGGACCCCAGUUGGUGGGCGGAGGGGAAGAGGGCUUCCCUGGUACAGGCUCCAACCCCUCAAACUUCCCACCACCACAGAGGAGAUCCUUGCAAGCUGACUGAAGAACGGGAUAUCCUGGCGCUGAUGGGGGUGGAGAUGGAAGAGAAGGGGAGCAUCCAUCACCUGCAUCUCACCCAGGCCACAUCCUCAAAGAACUCCACCGCAAGGACCAGCUGCUGGCCACUGGCCAUGGCUGUCAUCCUCAAGAAGAAUGCAUUCCUUUUGGCCUUUGGGUCAUCCCCUGCUGGCCUAGGGAGGACCUCAGGUUGCCCCUGUUGAACAGCCUUGUACCCCUGGGGCACUAGGCGACAGUGCUGACUUGCUGGUGACCUGGCACCCUCUCUUGUUUCCUCCUAAAGCAAGGUCCUUAAGUCUGGGACCUCAGACUCUGCCCAGGGGACACCCACAAUUAUGACUUGGUCUACUCCUCCCCACUUACACCCCCAGCCCCAAGUUUACCUUGCAGGUUCUGGUUGAGCAGAGGCUUGGGAACCACUGGCCUGGAAACUCAUCCCCUGGGGGAUGCUGGCAGCAUGUCCAAGGACUGUUGAGUUUGGGGAGAGAACACCCUCAGCUUGGCCAGCAGUCAGAGAUAACUCUUCUGCAUGUAGUGAUAGGAGAUCCAGGUUACACCAGUUCUCUUGUUUUUGUGCUUUUCCUUCCCAUGGGCAGCCUGUGACUCUGAAGGGGACUGGCAGCUCUGUGCCUCUCCUUCCUAGGACUUCCCUUCCCAGGGGCCCUCUGCAAGGGGGAGGAGGUGACCUGUCAAUGGAGAUCCAGCUGGCCAGGGACUUAGGUCUAUCCUGUUAUGUUUGCUGCUGGUUACAAUUCCAACUUUCUGUACAAUUAGACUGAAGUUUUCACUGUGUUUACAAAACAAAUUAAAACGGAGAGUGAGGUUAAAAAAACAAUUCAGUUCCUGUUGUGGCUCAUCCAGUUAAGGACCCAGCGUCUUUUUGAGGAUUCAGGUUCAAUCCCUGGCCUCGUAGAAUGGAUUAAGUUUCCAGCAUUGUACUGUUCAGGUUUGAUCCCUGGCCCAGGAAUUUCCACAUGCUCUGGGUGCAGCCAAAGUAAAUUUUUUUUAAAAAAGGAUUUUUUAACAUGGAUAUAUCUUGGGAUUAUUGAGAGCAGGUUUCCUUCUUCUUAAAAGGAAUGCUUUCAGCUUCAUUAUGGUGAUGUGUGCUCUUGGAUAUUUGAAGAUUGCCUUUAUCAGGUUAUUUUUUCCCCCAAUAUCAAUGGGUAGUGACCAUUUUGAGUAGUUUUGCAUCAAGAUGAAUCAACUUUUUCCCCUUUAAUGCCCAUAGUUUUCUCGUCUAACAUUUGCUCUUUAACUUCAACAAAUGCCUCUUGGUAUACAUUUCUUCUCAGGUUUCCCUUCUCAGUUCUCUUUCCUCAUCCAUUAAGUGUUGGUCUUCUCCAGUUUCUUCCAUCACUACCCACUGUUCAAGCUCCUGCUCUUUGUAGGUUUCCUAGGAUUUUAAAGGUUGGGGGAUGAUGACAGAGUUUUCAAACACUGUGUCUCCCCACAGUCUCUCCUCUCCACUAGCACAUGUGAUUUCAAGUUAAAGCCCUGGAUAGGAAACUAGGUGGCUCGACUUCCGGUUCUGUCAAUCUCCAAUUAGGCAGCAAGACAAUCCCUUAGUGCCCUGCCUUUCAGUCUCCUAAAUAAAACCCCUGCCUUGCGUACCUCCAGGACUGUUUGGCAUACCACCCUGUAAAUCAUUCACAGGUAAGGGGCUGCUGUUUGUGUUACUAAGAUUACAACAAGAAGUGUGAGAUAACCAUAGCCUGGAUUUGGAAGCUAGUGAACUCCAGAUCCAGUCUCGGUGAGCAGUGUGACUUAGUACUUGUUACUUAACCUUUCUUUAGAAAGGUUUAGGUUGACCUGGUUCCUUCAUCUGGCUUGCAGGUAAGAAAUGCGAAGCACUUGGCACAUAGAGCACAAUGAAUUAGCUAGCGAAGAGAUGAUGCACGUUAAGUUAGUCUGAAAAGUAUAAAAUACUCCACAAAUGGAAGCAGUUGUCUCUCGGUGGGUUCUAGGAUGGGAAGGUCUCAAGCCCGUUCUGCAACACCAGGAACAGCGCCCAGGUCGUAGAAGGCAGGGGGAGGAAAGUCACUGCAGAGAAAAGUCCUCCCCUGGUCCUCGAAUCCCCCACGUUGCGCUCUCCUGGAGCGCCGAGCGGUGCUCGAAGUCCUUCAGUUCGAUGACAGAUGCCAAAAAGAGAGGGGAACGGGCAGGCUUGGCCACUCGCACCUCCGCAGGAGGGACACAGCUUCCGCUGCCGGGAUCAGUUCCGCGAGGCGGAGAGACGACGCGCACUGGCGAUAACCGUCUUAACCCCGUCGGGGCUGACGAGUGCGCAUCCUGUCGCUGCCGAUAGGGGCACUCGUCCUGCCACGCGCCCGGCACGGUCCCCUUUGCGCAUGCGUAGUUCCUUCCGGCCAGCGUCCCCACCCCCACAGGAGUUACGUACGGGCGGGGUGUUCCCUGCACUUUCCGAGGCGGCGAGCGGCGGCCCGGA